rnacentral:antisense_RNA from 1 species
AGAGGAUGACUUAUGAGGUUCUGACCCCCUCCACAAAUAACAAUAAUAUAGAAUUGUUUUAUUUGUGUUAGCCUAUUUGUUGUAUUGGAGGGGUCUGGCCCUUUGCUUAUGAGUCAACCUCUUUUCAUCUUUUAGCGAUUAUCAAUUUUUUCCGGGUAAAGAUCGUGGUUCAUCAGGCGAUAUUCUGCCAUUUUUUCAUAUUUUGUUCCCGGUCUGCCGUAGUUUGUGUAUGGGUCAAUGGAGAUGCCGCCUCUUGGGGUA